UAUUACUUUUAUUUCAAAGCGGUAUCUCGAUUUUCCUCUUUGUAGAUCACAUCCUUCUAGGCCAAGUCAAAGAAACUGUCUACGUUACAGAUGAAUUUCAUUGUCACCGAAGAUGCAUGCAAAAUAACACCUGCAAAUCCUUCAAUGUUCAUUCGCCAAAAAGUAAUACAAUUAAGAAGACAUGCGAGAUGAAUAAUCAAACGCGUCAAAUGAAACCAAAACAGUACAAGAAGAAGAUUGGAUCAAGCUACCAUGGCUCGGUUGAGGUUUCCUGUGUCAAUAUAAUGGAAACUAACAGUCAAC